rnacentral:rRNA from 1 species
UACGUCGGGGGCUAGCGUUGUCCGGAAUCAUUGGGCGUAAAGAGCGCGUAGGCGGCUAGAUAAGUCCGGUGUGAAAGUCACAGGCUCAACCUGUGAAUGCCGCUGGAAACUGUCUGGCUAGAGUCCGGAAGGGGCGAGUGGAAUUCCUGGUGUAGCGGUGAAAUGCGCAGAUAUCAGGAGGAACACCAAUGGCGAAGGCAGCUCGCUGGGACGGUACUGACGCUGAGGCGCGAAAGCGUGGGGAGCAAACAGG